GGCAUAAAUUUUUCCUAUGUUACGGCCAUAGGGCAGAUAAAAGAUUUUAUCUUAUGCUU
rnacentral:tRNA from 1 species